rnacentral:ribozyme from 15 species
UAUGACAGAAUGUAACCAAUCCAAGAACAAACAUUGACAAAAGAAAGUAUAGUUCACUUGGGUUUUUUCUUACAGUUUCUUGAUACUCCUCUUCCAUCCAUCUUCUCACAACUAACGUACGCAGUUUUCAUAGUCUCGACAAGGUUGAUUGAUUUACUGCCUCCGCUGCAGAAGCAUUCCGUAAUUCCGUAAUAGUAGUGUAAGACAACUGGUUGAGAAUUCUUUUGUCGUCUACCCACUCUUGAACAGCAAAAUAGCAACUUGCCCAAGAUAAAAGUAAAUGAAAUGUUUCGUU